GCGCGUGUGGCGGAAUAGGCAGACGCAAGGGACUUAAAAUCCCUCGGGAGCGAUCCCGUGCCGGUUCAAGUCCGGCCACGCGCA
rnacentral:tRNA from 9 species